UACGUAGGGUGCGAGCGUUAAUCGGAAUUACUGGGCGUAAAGCGUGCGCAGGCGGCUUUGCAAGACAGAUGUGAAAUCCCCGGGCUCAACCUGGGAACUGCAUUUGUGACUGCAAGGCUAGAGUACUGCAGAGGGGGAUGGAAUUCCGCGUGUAGCAGUGAAAUGCGUAGAUAUGCGGAGGAACACCAAUGGCGAAGGCAAUCCCCUGGGCCUGUACUGACGCUCAGGCACGAAAGCGUGGGGAGCAAACAGG
rnacentral:rRNA from 1 species